rnacentral:rRNA from 1 species
CCUACGGGAGGCAGCAGUAGGGAAUCUUCCACAAUGGACGAAAGUCUGAUGGAGCAACGCCGCGUGAGUGAUGAAGGUUUUCGGAUCGUAAAACUCUGUUGUAAGGGAAGAACAAGUACGAGAGGGAAUGCUCGUACCUUGACGGUACCUUGCGAGAAAGCCACGGCUAACUACGUGCCAGCAGCCGCGGUAAUACGUAGGUGGCAAGCGUUGUCCGGAAUUAUUGGGCGUAAAGCGCGCGCAGGCGGCCUUUUAAGUCUGAUGUGAAAGCCCCCGGCUCAACCGGGGAGGGUCAUUGGAAACUGGAAGGCUUGAGUACAGAAGAGAAGAGUGGAAUUCCAUGUGUAGCGGUGAAAUGCGUAGAGAUGUGGAGGAACACCAGUGGCGAAGGCGACUCUUUGGUCUGUAACUGACGCUGAGGCGCGAAAGCGUGGGGAGCAAACAGGAUUAGAUACCCUGGUAGUCCACGCCGUAAACGAUGAGUGCUAGGUGUUGGGGGGUUUCCGCCCGUCAGUGCUGAAGCUAACGCAUUAAGCACUCCGCCUGGGGAGUACGGCCGCAAGGCUGAAACUCAAAUGAAAUUGACGG